UAGUCUAACGAUUUAUAGUCGUUGUACUCUAUUGUUAUAAUAUGUCUUUUUGACUGAAUACAUGUUUGUUUUAUUUGUCUAUAUCCUAGAUUCGCAGCUGGACACAUCCUUCUACACUGUAUGCAAACAUGCAACAUCAUAACACACAGUACAAGGAGUCAGACUGGCAUAUGAGGAGCAAAGGAACCCAGGCAGUAGCAUCGUUUCACAAUGUUUCCAUCACCAUCAUCAGUGGAUGCCUUUGCCGUCCGUAGCCUGAGAUUUCAGAUUUGCAGCAAAAAUAAUUUUGAUUUUCUCAUUUAUUGGAAUGCUGUGCAGGUAUUUGUACCUUGCAGCCAUCCAUUACAAUGUCACCAAGCCGUAACAAAAGCAGGAGAGGGAAAGUACAAGGCUAUGUUCCCAAAACACACAAGUGACAUACCUUAUGUGGAUGAUGUGAUCAGGCUUGUGUUUGAUGAGGUAUUUGAAGAUAAGCUGAAGGAAACCCCGAUUCCAAUGGACCUGGCAUCACAGUUUGAGAGACCUUCAAAGGAGGACGUGAUUGCAUGCCAUCUUCAGUGCAG